AUGUUCUUCAGGCUUAUGUUUCCCAGAUUGGCAGCUCUCAGUCAAACUUCUUUACUGAUCACUUCACCAUCGACAUCCACCCGAUCGAGCGGUUGUCGCCGAGCUCCACGGCUUCUGUGUCUACCGGAGAUGGGUUCUUGUGGGUCAGCUCACAAGAAGGUCGUCGGACUGCCCAAGAAGCUGUGCCUCGCCUCGUCGCCGCCGUCCAAGGACAACAAGGUUGUCGACGAUGUUCUGGUCGGUGUCAACCUCAAGGUCAAGUUGUUCGUCCCCAGUAGCAGGAGCGCUGACUCUGAUACGGUGUGA
rnacentral:rRNA from 1 species